GUACCGGGAUGAAUGAUUGUCUUACAUUUGUUUAUAUAUGAAUCCACCACAUGGUUUUCAAUAAACUACGAAAACCUAAUUCUUUAAAUACAUUGAUUAAACAGAGAAAUUAUUUUUCUAAUUACUGGAAAAAUAGUUUUUCUUUUUUUGUGUAAUCAAAGAAUCAACCAAUUAAUUCAUUGACACAAAUUUUAAAUGGAACGAUUUCUUGUACAUCUAAAGUAGUUUUAGAAAGCAUUGUAAAAAGCAGUUAAAAGCAAACUUAUGAGCUCACUCUUACCUGCUUCAAUUUAUUUCUAUAGAUUAGUAGUUGCU
rnacentral:misc_RNA from 1 species